rnacentral:rRNA from 1 species
AUUGAACGCUGGCGGCAUGCCUUACACAUGCAAGUCGAACGGCAGCACGGGUGCUUGCACCUGGUGGCGAGUGGCGAACGGGUGAGUAGUACAUCGGAACAUGUCCUGUAGUGGGGGAUAGCCCGGCGAAAGCCGGAUUAAUACCGCAUACGAUCUACGGAUGAAAGCGGGGGACCUUCUGGCCUCGCGCUAUAGGGUUGGCCGAUGGCUGAUUAGCUAGUUGGUGGGGUAAAGGCCUACCAAGGCGACGAUCAGUAGCUGGUCUGAGAGGACGACCAGCCACACUGGGACUGAGACACGGCCCAGACUCCUACGGGAGGCAGCAGUGGGGAAUUUUGGACAAUGGGCGAAAGCCUGAUCCAGCAAUGCCGCGUGUGUGAAGAAGGCCUUCGGGUUGUAAAGCACUUUUGUCCGGAAAGAAAUCCUUGGCCCUAAUACGGUCGGGGGAUGACGGUACCGGAAGAAUAAGCACCGGCUAACUACGUG